CCGAGUUUACAACUCCCAAACCCCUGUGAACUUAUACCUUUACUGUUGCUUCGGCGGGUCUUCGCCCCGGAACAGGCCCGAGAGGGCCGGCCCGGAACCAGGCGCCCGCCGGGGGACCCAAACUCUUGUAUUUUUACUUUGCAUGUCUGAGUGGAAUCAUACAAAAUGAAUCA
rnacentral:misc_RNA from 1 species